CCCCUAGAUGUUCUGGGCCGCACGCGCGCUACACUGAACAGUUCAACAAGUCUUAACCUUGGCCGAUAGGUCUGGGUAAUCUUUGAACGCUGUUCGUGAUUGGGAUAGACCUUUGCAAUUAUGGGUCUUCAACGAGGAAUUCCUAGUAAACGCAAGUCAUCAGCUUGCAUUGAUUACGUCCCUGCCCUUUGUACACACCGCCCGUCGCACCUACCGAUUGAAUGGUCCGGUGAAAUCUCGGGACGGCGGCUUGGUCGCUUGCGUCCGACUGCUGAAACUUGAUUAAACCAUAUCAUUUNNAGGAAGGUGAAGUCGUAACA
rnacentral:rRNA from 1 species